GGGUUUUGUAGUAGUGUUUACAAUUAAUUGAUCAUAACCAGUUACAGACUUUUUUCCUUUUCCAUUUCCACUGCUUCGUUGGACUAGCCUUAA
ensembl:misc_RNA Y_RNA Y RNA